AAUUUCUCUCUUUAGAACUGUCAAUAGGAAGCUAAGCAGGGUCGGGCCUGGUUAGGAUCUUGGAUGGGAGACCACCUGGGCCCUACCAGGUAAAAAAUUU
rnacentral:rRNA from 1 species